CACACCAGUAACCAGUACCAAUACCAAUACCAGUACCGUUCUCCUCCUACACCCUGCCCGCCCAGUGAGGUACUGGUCUGCACUCACACCAGUAACCAGUACCAAUACCAGUACUGUUCUCCUCCUACACCCUGCCCGCCCAGUGAGGUACUGGUCUACACUCACACCAGUACCAGUACUGGUACCAGUAACGUUCUCCACCUACACCAGUGAGGUACUGGUCUACACUCAAACCAGUACCAGUACUGGUACCAGUAACGUUCUCCACCUACACCAGUGAGGUACUGGUCUACACUCAAACCAGUACCAGUACUGGUACCAGUAACGUUCUCCACCUACACCAGUGAGGUACUGGUCUACACUCAAACCAGUACCAGUACUGGUACCAGUAACGUUCUCCACCUACACCAGUGAGGUACUGGUCUACACUCAAACCAGUACCAGUACUGGUACCAGUAACGUUCUCCACCUACACCAGUGAGGUACUGGUCUACACUCAAACCAGUACCAGUACUGGCACCAGUAACGUUCUCCACCUACACCAGUGAGGUACCAGCCCGGUUCUACAGAACAUCUCCAUCAGGCCCUCGAUCCUGAGGCGGAUCAAACCGGUCGCUCCACCUCCUUCCACCCUACUCUAACGCAUCCACCUCCACCCUACUCUAACAGCUCCACCUCCACCCUACUCUAACAGCUCCACCUCCACCCUACUCUAACGCAUCCAUCUCCACCCUACUCUAACAGCUCCACCUCCACCCUACUCUAACAGCUCCACCUCCACCCUACUCUAACAGCUCCACAUCCACCCUACUCUAACGCAUCCACCUCCACCCUACUCUAACAGCUCCACCUCCACCCUACUCUAACAGCUCCACCUCCACCCUACUCUAACGCAUCCACCUCCACCCUACUCUAACGCAUCCACCUCCACCCUACUCUAACGCAUCCACCUCCACCCUACUCUAAUGCAUCCACCUCCACCCUACUCUAAUGCAUCCACCUCCACCCUACUCUAACAGCUCCACCUCCACCCUACUCUAACAGCUCCACAUCCACCCUACUCUAACAGCUCCACCUCCACCCUACUCUAAUGCAUCCACCUCCACCCUACUCUAACAGCUCCACCUCCACCCUACUCUAACGCAUGCACCUCCACCCUACUCUAACAGCUCCACCUCCACCCUUAUUCUAACAGUUCCACCUCCACCCUACUCUAACAGCUCCACCCUUAUUCUAACAGUUCCACCUCCACCCUACUCUUAACAGCUCCACCUCCACCCUUAUUCUAACAGUUCCACCUUCACCCUACACUUAACAGCUCCACCUCCACCCUUAUUCUAACAGUUCCACCUGCAACCUACUCUUAACAGCUCCACAGCGGUGUCCUCACCCUUAAUGUGGACUCACUCUAAAGGUGGACUCACCCUUAAUGUUGACUCACCUUUAAUGUGGACUCACCCUAAAGGUGGACUCACCCUAAAGGUGGACUCACCCUUAAUGUAGACUCACCCUUAAUGUAGACUCACCCUUAAUGUGGACUCACCCUUAAUGUGGACUCACCCUUAAUGUGGACUCACCCUUAAUGUGGACUCACCCUUAAUGUGGACUCACCCUUAAUGUGGACUCACCCUUAUUGUGGACUCACCCUUAAUGUGGACUCACCCUUAGUGUGGACUCACCCUUAAUGUGGACUCACCCUUAGUGUGGACUCACCCUUAAUGUGGACUCACCCUUAGUGUGGACUCACCCUUAGUGUGGACUCACCGUUAUUGUGGACUCACCCUCAGGGUGGACUCACCCUUAGUGUGGACUCACCCUUAAUGUUUCUCUUCCUCCUUCUGUUUUGGCCAUCUAUCUUCUCAACUCACUUCCUGUUCCUAUUGUGUCUCUUCUCUCUCUAGUGGAGCAGGCGGUCGUCUCCACCUUCUAGCUGCCCUUUGGCCCGCCCCCCGGCUUGGCCCCACCUCCCACCUUGCCCCCAGCCCUGAGUGUUGUUGCCAUGGCGCUGGGCGGGUCUGUGUAGGAGCCUUGUAGGCGCUAGCAGGUUAUCUUUUUGUGGGGCUUGGUCUCAUCCCAGGACGUUAGGAAGAGUUUCAGCAACUUGUUUUUUCAUGAAGUUUAGACGGUUUUCAAAUAGGCAGGGGAUAUCAAUCUGUUGGAGGUGUUUUAAACUUGAUUUAGAUAGUUUUUUGUGACAUUAUUAUAUAUUACCAAGUAAGAACUCAUUGCGACACAUGUUCUUGCUGUGGGUUUGCCUUUUCACCAUAAAGACCAAUAUAAGGUUUACCUUAAGGUUCAAAUAUCUAGUUUACUACACAAGAGUUGAGGAAGUUUGUUACACUUUGUUGUUGUAGUGAUUAGUCUCUGGCUCGCCAUGAGGGGAUUAGAUCUUUAAAGAUGUAGCUCUGGAUUCUACUAUUAAUGUCUGCAAGGUCAUGGAAAUAUCUGGAUCGAGAUCUUUUGAUGAUUAGAAGAUAUGAAACAUUAUCGAUACGUUCUUAUGUUCGAAGGCCAUCAGUCGAGUGGUGGAUCUUUGAAAAUAGCCAAUCAUAUUUCCAUAAGAAGCCAAGUGUGUGAAUUGAGUUUUUGUUGACUUUUAUAUCGUGAUUUAAGUGCAGUAGAAUGUCUAAAGGCCAAACCUGUGCGUGGGUGUGUGUGAUGCGUGCGUGCGUGCGUCCCUCGUUAUUUUGUAUGAUCCAGUUAAUUUCGAGUAGGAAUUAAACUUUAGGGUUAGUUUAGUGUCUGGACGGCGACCUUCGACCCCACGGUGACCUUCAACCCCACGCCCCUUCCCGUGGACGGUGACCUUCGACCCCACGUCCCUUCCCGUGGACGGUGACCUUCGACCCCACGUCCCUUCCCGUGGACGGUGACCUUCGACCCCACGUCCCUUCCAGUGGAUGAUGACCUUCGACCCCAUGCCCUACAUGUGUAUUGUUGAACUGAUCGAUGUUUAAGACGUAUUCAAUAAAAAGUGUGAUUUAUGCUGGAAGUCUUCUUUCUGGUGGAGUCUGGUGACGGCAUUCAUACACACAGUUUUAGGGACCGGGAGCAAGUUCUCUCUAUAGAAGAGUAUGUAGGGACCGUCAGCAAGUUCUUUGCCGUCAGUUUAGUGUUUCAGGUGGAGUAGGCAAGCAGCAGAUAUCAACUGCAAUUACUUUAUCA
ensembl:lncRNA